GAGUUUGAUCAUGGCUCAGAGCGAACGCUGGCGGCAGGCUUAACACAUGCAAGUCGAGCGGGCGUAGCAAUACGUCAGCGGCAGACGGGUGAGUAACACGUGGGAACGUACCUUUUGGUUCGGAACAACUGAGGGAAACUUCAGCUAAUAACCGGAUAAGCCCUAACGGGGGAAAGAUUUAUCGCCGUAAAGAUCGGCCCGCGUCUGAUUAGCUAGUUGGUGAGGUAAUGGCUCACCAAGGCGACGAUCAGUAGCUGGUCUGAGAGGAUGAUCAGCCACACUGGGACUGAGACACGGCCCAGACUCCUACGGGAGGCAGCAGUGGGGAAUAUUGGACAAUGGGGGCAACCCUGAUCCAGCCAUGCCGCGUGAGUGAUGAAGGCCCUAGGGUUGUAAAGCUCUUUGUG
rnacentral:rRNA from 1 species